AUUGGCGUAUAUUAGAGUUGUUGCGGUUAAAAGCUCGUAGUUGGAUCUGUGUAUCGGACGGUCGGUUCGCCGCUCGCGGCGUUUAACUGACCGUUUCCGGACGUCCUGCCGGUGGUCGUCGGUCCGCAAGGGCCGUCGGCCGUCACCUCCCUCCGGGCUUCUCUUAACCGGGUGGCCCGGUGGGCCGGCACGUUUACUUUGAACAAAUUUGAGUGCUCAAAGCAGGCCUAUAGACGCCUGAAAACUGUGUGCAUGGAAUAAUGGAAUAGGACCUCUUUUCUAUUUUGUUGGCUUUUCUGAAACAGAAGUAAUGAUUAAUAGGGACAGACGGGGGCAUUCGUAUUGCGACGUUAGAGGUGAAAUUCUUGGAUCGUCGCAAGACGGACGGAUGCGAAAGCGUUUGCCAAGAAUGUUUUCGCUAAUCAAGAACGAAAGUUAGAGGUUCGAAGGCGAUCAGAUACCGCCCUAGUUCUAACCAUAAACGAUGCCAGCCAGCGAUGCGCCGAAGUUCCUCCGAUGACUCGGCGCGCAGCUUCCGGGAAACCAAAGCUUUUGGGUUCC
rnacentral:rRNA from 1 species